ACCCAUGCAAGUCGAGCGGAUGAAUGGAGCUUGCUCCUGGAUUCAGCGGCGGACGGGUGAGUAAUGCCUAGGAAUCUGCCUGGUAGUGGGGGAUAACGUCCGGAAAGGGGCGCUAAUACCGCAUACGUCCUACGAGAGAAAGUGGGGGAUCUUCGGACCUCACGCUAUCAGAUGAGCCUAGGUCGGAUUAGCUAGUUGGUGGGGUAAUGGCCCACCAUGGCGACGAUCCGUAGCUGGUCUGGGAGGAUGAUCAGUCACACUGGAACUGAGACACGGUCCAGACUCCUACGUCAGGCAGCUUUGCGGAAUAUUGCACCAUGGGCGAAAGCCUGAUCCAGCCAUGCCGCGUGUGUGAAGAAUGUCUUCGGAUUGUAAAGUACUUUAAGUUGGGAGGAAGGGCAGUAAGUUAAUACCUUGCUGUUUUGACGUUACCCUCCCAAUAAGCACCGGCCAACUUCGUGCCAGUCUCUGCGGUAAUACGAAGGGUGCAAGCGUUCAUCGGAAUUACUGGUCGUACAGCGGGCGCACCUGGUUCAGCGAGUUGGAUGUGAAAUCCCCGGGCUCAACCUGGGAACUGCAUCCAAAACUACUGAGCUAGAGUACGGUAGAGGGUGGUGGAAUUUCCUGUGUAGCGGUGAAAUGCGUAGAUAUAGGAAGGAACACC
rnacentral:rRNA from 1 species